rnacentral:tRNA from 1 species
AUUUAUAUAGUUUAAUAAAAACAUUACAUUUUCACUGUAAAAAAAAGAAAUUUUUCUUUAUAAAUU